rnacentral:rRNA from 1 species
GGUAGUCCACGCCGUAAACGAUGUCGACUUGGAGGCUGUUCCCCUGAGGAGUGGCUUCCGGAGCUAACGCGUUAAGUCGACCGCCUGGGGAGUACGGCCGCAAGGUUAAAACUCAAAUGAAUUGACGGGGGCCCGCACAAGCGGUGGAGCAUGUGGUUUAAUUCGAUGCAACGCGAAGAACCUUACCUGGCCUUGACAUCCAGAGAACUUAGCAGAGAUGCUUCGGUGCCUUCGGGAACUCUGAGACAGGUGCUGCAUGGCUGUCGUCAGCUCGUGUUGUGAAAUGUUGGGCUAAGUCCCGCAACGAGCGCAACCCUUAUCCUUUGUUGCCAGCGGGUAGUGCCGGGAACUCAAAGGAGACUGCCGGUGAUAAACCGGAGGAAGGUGGGGAUGACGUCAAGUCAUCAUGGCCCUUACGGCCAGGGCUACACACGUGCUACAAUGGCGCAUACAAAGAGAAGCGACCUCGCGAGAGCAAGCGGACCUCACAAAGUGCGUCGUAGUCCGGAUCGGAGUCUGCAACUCGACUCCGUGAAGUCGGAAUCGCUAGUAAUCGUGGAUCAGAAUGCCACGGUGAAUACGUUCCCGGGCCUUGUACACACCGCCCGUCACACCAUGGGAGUUGGAUUCACCCGAAGGCGUUGCGCUAACUCAGCAAUGAGAGGCAGGCGACCACGGUGGGUUUAGCGACUGGGGUGAAGUCGUAACAAGGUAACC